GACGAACCGUGCGAACGUUGUUCGGAAUCACUGGGCUUAAAGGGCGCGUAGGCGGGCUAUCAAGUCUGGGGUGAAAUGCCACGGCUCAACCGUGGAACUGCCUCAGAUACUGACGGCCUCGAGGAAGGUAGGGGCAUGCGGAACUGUAGGUGGAGCGGUGAAAUGCGUUGAUAUCUACAGGAACUCCGGUGGCGAAAGCGGCGUGCUGGACCUUUUCUGACGCUGAGGCGCGAAAGCUAGGGGAGCAAACGGG
rnacentral:rRNA from 1 species